rnacentral:tRNA from 1 species
UCAGGAUAGCUCAGUCCGGUAAGAGCAGAGGACUGAAAAUUCUCGUGUCGCCAGUUCAAAUCUGGUUCCUG